UGGAUAAUAGUGAGGCUAUAGGAAUUGUUCUCCAUGUCCUUAUAGAAGAUUUUGUAAAGAUUAUGGAAAAAAAUAAAUAUAUGAAAGUCAUAACGCCAAAAAAUCAUGGGCUAACACACACGAAAAAUUGAGAAAAUUAUCUAAUUCUUGUUUAGUGACCCCUAAGUGUUUAAAAAUGGUGUCGAUCAUGGUGAGGCUAUAAGAAUUGUCUCUCAGGUC
rnacentral:lncRNA from 1 species